rnacentral:rRNA from 1 species
GCGUGCUUCAGCCAAAGCGAGGCGCGGCAUACAGCUCAGUAACACGUGGCUAAUCUGCCCUUGGGACGAGAACAACCCCGGGAAACUGGGGCUAAUUCUCGAUAGGUGAAGAACUCUGGAAUGAGUCUUCGCUUAAAAAGCUUCACGUUAUGCUCGUGAAGUCGCCCAAGGAUGAGGCCGCGACCGAUCAGGUUGUUGGUGAGGUAAUGGCUCACCAAGCCUUUUACCGGUGCGGGCCGUGAGAGCGGGAGCCCGGAGAUGGGCACUGAGACAAGGGCCAGGCCCUACGGGGCGCAGCAGUCGCGAAAACUUUGCAAUACACGAAAGUGUGACAGGGCUAUCCCGAGUGCCAUCCGCUGAGGAAGGCUUUUACCCAGUAUAGAUCGCUGGGGGAAUAAGGAGAGGGCAAGUCUGGUGUCAGCCGCCGCGGUAAUACCAGCUCUCCGAGUGGUGUGGAUGUUUAUUGGGCCUAAAGCAUCCGUAGCUGGCUAAGUUAGUCCCUUGUUAAAUCCACCGAAUUAAUCGUUGGAUUGCGGGGGAUACUGCUUGGCUAGGGGACGAGAGAGGCAGACGGUAUUUCCGGGGUAGGGGUGAAAUCCUAUAAUCCCGGGAAGACCACCAGUGGCGAAGGCUGUCUGCUAGAACGCGCCCGACGGUGAGGGAUGAAAGCUGGGGGAGCGAACCGGAUUAGAUACCCGGGUAGUCCCAGCUGUAAACGAUGCAGGCUAGGUGUUUGGACGGCCACGUGCCGUUCUAGUGCCGCAGGGAAGCUGUUAAGCCUGCCGCCUGGGGAGUACGAUCGCAAGAUUGAAACUUAA